GUUGUCUGCUUCUUACCGUACACGUGGCUGACAAAGAGCAGGGAAGAUGGAGCCACCAUUCUGAACCUGCCCAGUCCCAGGGCAGUUGCACAACCUGGAGGCUGGCAUCAUGGGGUCAUUUAGGAUUGAAUCUGAAGGAGCCGCUGUGGUGGAAAUGAAAUCCCUGCACAAAAGAAGCUGGGGCUGAACUAUCAUAUUCUCCUGGAAGUAGUGGGAGAUCGGCAGUGUUGCGGAUGCUGAGCACUCCGUAAGCCAAGAUCCUUGAAGGAAAACCAUGGUAGAAGCAAUGAACCAAAAGUAAAAUUUUGUUGUUUAAAGACACAGGCUUUGUUGCUACUGAUACUGCAUAAUCACCUAGCCUUCCCUGACUGAAAAACCAGCAGCUGAGCCACACAAAGGACAUGUUUGACAGAUAAAGAACACUGAUGCCAAGGUCUGAAAUAAAUUUUUUAGCAUUAACAUCUGUGUCUGUGCAAAGCUCUUGGCUGCUUUCUUCAUUUGAUGCUUGGAUGGGUCUGUUAGAUCUGUUGACUCCACUGCUAACCAUGCUAAUAUCUGUUUAGCAGGCUCUGGUGACCUGCCCACAAAAUCAGACAUUGAUUAAACUAUUUUAAAAGUCCUA
rnacentral:lncRNA from 10 species